CUUGUGUGUGAGGCUAACUGGGAAUUAACUGGUUCUUACCGGAUGUCCCCUGCCCCCAGCUGUUUCUGCUCUCCCUGGUUCCAACCAAUCGAACACCCCCAUUUAAAGUUCAAGCCAGCACUUACAUCAGCAUUAUGACAUCACUUACAAUUUUCCACCUAGAGGAUUUUACUAAUUUAAAUCAGUAGUCUGGUGGUCAGAGGGAGAGAGUUCAUUAUGUGGGCACCCAGCCAAAGACACUCCUAAGGGAUUGUCCUGGCAUUUCCUCUGGCCACAGCUAUGCAAGGAAGAAGCAUCUGGAAGGAUUGAUAACCUGAGAGCAAAGGCAGCGGAGGGGGGGGGCAUCUGAUGAGGCUGAGAAGUGGUUUUGACCGAGUGUCUGACAGCCAGAGUUUGAGCCUAUGUUUUGGGUGUAUUCUGAGGCCUUGUUGAGAGCUCUACAGGUCUUGAACAACUGACUCCAUGAUGAACCUUCAUGGUUUGAUCAAGAUGCUCACAGUGGGUGAAGCCAUGAGGGACCCUUCUGCUUCCCAAACACUCUUAUACCCACUCUAUCAGGUUGGCCGAUCUCUGGUCUCUUGACCCUGAUUGACACUUUGGGUCUGAGCCCAUCUGGAUGAGUCUAAAGCCAUCUAUCACCAUUCCAAAAGACCAGCACCUUUGCCAUCUGCUUGUGAGGGUUUGGAAGCAUAUGGUACAGUUCAGAGCACCCACAUUCCAGGCUGCCUCAGAAUUUCUGCACUUCAUCACCUCCAUCAAAGCCUGCCUGAAAAAAACAAAACAGUCUUGAUGGGAGAUAAUUUAGAAUUCAUCUUCAUCCCUCGAUGCUAUGAUUGCCGUACUUGAAUCAAGCCAAACCAAUGAACAUUUCCAUUCUUAGAAUGUAUGUCAAGCUGCUCCUGAAAUUAUAUUCAUUGGCUUCAUUUUAUUAUUAUUCAAGAAAAACAAGAAUUUAUGGAAAGGUCACAA